rnacentral:rRNA from 1 species
CCGUCAAUUCCUUUGAGUUUCAGCCUUGCGGCCGUACUUCCCAGGUGGCUCGCUUCACGGCUUCCCUACGGCACCGACAACGGUCGCACCGUGGCCGACACCUAGCGAGUAUCGUUUACGGCUUGGACUACCCGGGUAUCUAAUCCGGUUCGUGCCCCUAGCUUUCGUCCCUUGCCGUCAGGUCCGUUCUGGUGAGACGCCUUCGCCACUGGUGGUCCUUCAAGGAUUACAAGAUUUCACCCCUACCCCUGAAGUACCUCUCACCUCUCCCGGCCUCGAGCCGAACAGUAUCUCCUGAAAGCCCAACAGUUGAGCUGCUGGAUUUCUCAAGAGACUUAUCCGGCCGGCUACAGACCCUUUAGACCCAAUAAUAACGGUUACCACUCGAGCCGCCGGUGUUACCGCGGCGGCUGGCACCGGUCUUGCCCGGCCCUUGCUAUGCAUGCUUUUUAGGCAUCACGACAGCCAGAUUUGUAACCUGGCACUCGAGGUCCCCUUAUCGCCGUUGCCGGCAUUGUAAAGUUUUCGCGCCUGCUGCCUCCCGUAGGAGU